AUAUCUCUCUGUACGGGAAGGAUGAGAAGCUUCGACUAAGGUUCGAUUCGAGCGCAGCGAGAAAGCGUUGCCGCAGGCAACGACCCGAAGGGCGAAGCGCGCAGCGCUGAGUAAUCCUUCCCC
rnacentral:sRNA from 2 species